GCGAGCCUCGCGGCGUCUCAGAGAACCACGGCGAGGACGGCGGCAGCGAGGCGCUGCAGGCGACGGGCAGGCGCGGGAACCCUGUCUCCACUUCGCUUAAUGGCAGGAAACAGGCACCGCAGUCCGCGUUGCCCGGACCUGGUGCGAGAGCUUGCACAGGUUGAGACCGCAACAGUUCAAAAGAACAAGAGCAAAGAGACCUCAAAGUUAUCUCUGGGCAAAUUUAGAAGCACAUGUGUCUCCUUGGACAAUUCACUUCACUCCGAAGCGACAAGAACCCAGUUUUGGGUCCUGGAAGGGGUCCCCCUUCCUGCAACAAAUGGCGACUCUGGCAGGUGUCUGCUGCGACUGACAUCCUGACCACUUGCGGUACUCAGGAACCAGCUUGCCCGCUGAUGGACCAGACCCAAUGGCUGCAACUGGGACCCUUUUGUCUCUGGUCUCCUCCUGACACAGACAACUGGCCAGAACGCCCCAACCGGGAAUCCAGAUUGGAAAAGAAGUAAAACUCUUACUGUUUGCAGAUGACAUGAUCCUCUACAUAGAAAACCCUAAAGACUCCACCAGAAAACUACUAGAACUAAUCAAUGAAUAUAGUAAAGUUGCAGGAUAUAAAAUCAACACACAGAAAUCCCUUGCAUUCCUAUAAGCUAACAAUGAGAAAACAGAAAGAGAAAUUAAGGAAAAAAUUCCAGUCACCAUUGCAACGAAAAGAAUAAAAUACUUAGGUAGGGAUAUAUCUACUUAAAGAAACAAAAUACCUAUAUAUAGAAAAUUAUAAAACACUGGUGAAAGAAAUCAAAGAGGAUGCAAAUAGAUGGAGAAAUAUACUGUGUUCAUGGAUUGGAAGAAUCAAUAUAGUGAAAAUGAGUAUACGACCCAAAGCAAUCUAUAGAUUCAAUGCAAUCCCUAUCAAGCUACCAACGGUAUUCUUCACAGAACUAGAACGAAUAAUUUCACAAUUUGUAUGGAAAUACAAAAAACCUCGAAUAGCCAAAGCAAUCUUGAGAAAGAAGAAUGGAACUGGACAAAGAAUUAAUCUCAAAAAUAUACAAGCAAAUCCUGCAGCUGAAUUCCAGAAAAAUAAAUGACCCAAUCAAAAAGUGGGCCAAAGAACUAAACAGACAUUUCUCCAAAGAAGACAUACAGAUGGCUAACAAACACAUGAAAAGAUUCUCAACAUCACUCAUUAUCAGAGAAAUGCAAAUCAAAUCUACAAUGAGGUACCAUUUCACACCAGUCAGAAUGGCUGCUAUCCAAAAGUCUACAAACAAUAAAUGCUGGAGAGGGUGUGGAGAAAAGGGAACCCUCUUACACUGUUGGUGGGAAUGCAAACUAGUAUGGCACUAUGGAGAACAAUGGUGGAGAUUCCUUAAAAAACUGGAAAUAGAACUCCCAUAUGACCCAGAAAUCCUACUACUGGACAUACACACUGAGGAAACCAGAAUUGAAAGAGAUACGUGCACCCCAAUGUUCAUCGCAGCACUGUUUAUAAUAGUCAGGACAUGGAAGCAACCUAGAUACCCAUCAGCAGACGAAUGGAUAAGAAAGCUAUGGUACAUAUACACAAUGGAAUAUUACUCAGCCAUUAAAAGAAUUCAUUUGAAUCAGUUCUAAUGAGGUGGAUGAAACUGGAGCCUGUUAUACAGAGUGAAGUAAGCCAGAAAGAAAAACACCAAUACAGUAUACUAACGCAUAUAUAUGGAAUUUAGAAAGAUGGUGACAAUAACCCUGUAUGCAAGACAGCAAAAGAGACAUAGAUGUAUAGAACUGUCUUUUGGACUCUGUGGAAGAGGGUGAGGUGGGAUGACUUGGGAAAAUGGCAUUGAAACAUAUAUAUUAUCAUAUGUGAAAUGAAUCGCCAGUCCAGGUUCGAUGCACGAGACAGGGUGCUUGGGGCUGGUGCACUGGGAUGACCCAGAGGGAUGGGAUGGGGUGGGAGGUGGGAUGGGGGUUCAGGAUGGGGACCACAUGUACACACAUGGCAGAUUCAUGUCGAUGUAUGGCAAAACCAAUACAAU